rnacentral:rRNA from 1 species
UGGUAGGCGGAGGACAUUAUCGAGUUUUGAACGGGUUGUAGCUGGCCUCUCCGGAGGCAUGUGCACGCCCUGCUCAUCCACUCUACACCUGUGCACUUACUGUGGGUAUCGGAAGGCGUCGCGUCGUUUACGGCGAGGCGUUAACCGUGCCUGCGUCUUACUACAAACGCUUCAGUAUCAGAAUGUGUAUUGCGAUGUAACGCAUCUAUAUACAACUUUCAGCAACGGAUCUCUUGGCUCUCGCAUCGAUGAAGAACGCAGCGAAAUGCGAUAAGUAAUGUGAAUUGCAGAAUUCAGUGAAUCAUCGAAUCUUUGAACGCACCUUGCGCUCCUUGGUAUUCCGAGGAGCAUGCCUGUUUGAGUGUCAUGAAAUUCUCAAACCCAUAAGUCUUUGCGGGCUUACGGGCUUUGGACUUGGAGGCUUUGUCGGCGACCGCGAGGUCUGUCGACUCCUCUCAAAUGCAUUAGCUUGAUUCCUUGCGGAUCGGCUCUCGGUGUGAUAAUUGUCUACGCCGUGACCGUGAAGCGUUUUGGCGAGCUUCUAAUCGUCUCUUACGAGACAGCUUACAUUGACCUCUGACCUCAAAUCAGGUAGGACUACCCGCUGAACUUAAGCUACAAAAACGGGGGGGAAAAAAAA